AUUCAUCAGCAAGCUAAAGACGGGCAUCAACUCAUUGCUUCCAACUCUGGCUCUGCACUGUAGUGGGUGAACCGUAGCAAAAUGGCAACAGCAUAUAACUAUCUCGUGGUAUUAUUCGCGUCAACACCGGGCCAGAGAGGACCGUACCUAGGAUCUGACGAAUGUGAAGUAGUUUUUUUAGUUUGGAUGGUCAUCGACGUAGAAACGAACAAGGUUGUUAGCGUAAAACAGUCGUUCGUCAAGGCUGAUCAUACGGAAGUGUCUGAGGAAUACUGUUCGGAACUGGGGAUUAAAGAAGAGGCCAUUAAAAAUGCAGAGCCACUAGAAUCAGUCAUUCAACAGCUUGAUACCCACAUACGUAACGAACUGAAUUCUACGGAAGGCGCAACGUUCUGUUUCUGCAUUGAUGGGUCUCUCCACUUACGGCAGUGCCUGCAUCCGCAGUGCGCCAAUAAGGGAAUCGAGUUGCCCGAACAUUACUAUCAAUUUUUCGAUAUACGUAAGGAAUUUCGUCGAUUUUACACGCUAGCACCACAAGUUAAUUCACUGAAAGAGAUGGCAGAUCAUUUAAAAAUCGAUAUAACUCCCAACACACGACACGCCACUGGUGACGUCAGAGCAAUUGGUCUUCUUGUACAGAGGUUGAUAUCAGAUGGGCACAAAUUUACAUCACCAGAAAUCAUUCAGAGAAAAUUUGAGACGGGAACAUGCAACAAACAUGAAAUUGUUGACAACGACCACGUGAUUAAAGCCAGGGGGUUGCCAUGGCAAUCAUCUGAUAAGGAUGUAGCUAAAUUUUUCAAGGGACUGGACAUUGGAAAGGGUGGUGUUGCGUUGUGUUUGAAUCCCCAAGGCAGACGCAAUGGAGAGGCUUUAGUUCGUUUUACCUGCACAGAGCACCGAGAUCUAGCGUUACAGAGGCACAAGCACCACUUGGGGCAUCGAUACAUUGAGGUUUAUAAAGCAACAGGAGAAGAAUUUCUCAAGAUUGCUGCAGGUAGUUCUAGCGAAGCAAGUAAUUUCCUAGCCAAAGAUAAUGGACACAUCAUAGUGAGAAUGAGAGGUUUGCCGUUCACAGCAACAGCAAAGGAUGUGCUUGUAUUUUUCGGUGAUGAGUGUCCAGUAUCUGGCGCUGAGGAAGGAGUCCUGUUCGUUCGUUAUCCAGAUGGUCGUUCUACAGGAGAUGCCUUUGUGCUUUUCUCUACUGAAGCAAAUGCCACAUCAGCUUUAGCCAAACACAAAGAAAAUCUAGGAUCUCGUUAUAUUGAACUUUUUAGAAGUACUACAGCAGAAGUUCAACAGGUGCUGAGUCGUUACCAACAACAUCCUUUGAUUCCCAAUGGACCCCCACCAACUGGUUCCGUUCCUAUACUGCCACAACAGAUGAUCACCUCUGGAUCGGUACGAGACUGUAUUCGUAUGAGGGGGCUUCCCUUUUCAGCCUCGGUCGAAGAUAUCAUGAAAUUUUUGGGAGAAUUCGCUCAUUAUAUUCGACCUCAUGGUGUACAUAUGGUACUCAACCAGCAGGGUCGUCCAUCGGGUGAUGCAUUCAUUCAGAUGAUUUCAGCCGAAAAGGCCUUGCAUGCAGCUCAACAAUGCCACCGCAAACACAUGGGUGAACGCUACAUUGAGGUGUUCCAGUGCUCUGGGGAUGAAAUGAACUUUGUUCUAAUGGGCGGUACCCUGAACAGAGGUGGACUGUCUCCACCUGCUGGUGCAAUUCCUGCUCAGGCUCAAUUCACACCAUAUCCCGGGACAAUACCAUCUCCACCAGCGGCCACAGUGAUGGCCGGUACAUUGCCUAUGCCACCAAGACCACCAGCCCCUGCCUAUUAUGCACCUCCCUUGUAUUACUUCCCUAGCCCACCUGUAUCACCAACUAGCCAAGCAUAUUAUCAAACGCCUAAUGGAGCUGUAGUACGCAUGAGGGGUCUGCCGUUCACCACUUCAGUCAAUGAUAUAGUUUCAUUCUUUCAAGGAUACGGGGAUUACUACCACCACCAGUAUUAGCACUUGUGGUGCAAUCCCAGCGUAGAAAGACUGAAUGGCAGUUGAAUUAGUACCAUGCAGGCGACGAUGAAGUUGUGCCUCCCAUCCAUCCAUCUAUCUAUCCGUCCAAUACAUCCAUAAUAACAAUGGACAUUGUCAUGGUUACCCAAAAUAUAGAACUGAUGUGAAGGGAGGCUUAACUCUCUGCUUUUAGAUAAAUGUACCCCACCAAAAUGUGCAGAUCCAGUACACCCCAGACGGGCGACCAAGUGGUGACGCAUUAGUCACGUUUCAUUCACCGGAUCUUGCUAUCCGUGCUGUUCACAACAAGAACAGACAACAUUUGGGCUCGCGCUAUGUGGAGCUCUACAUUGCUUGAAACAAAACCACGCUGGGAUCAGAGUAUAAAUAAUUUUAGUGUCUUCCAUAUUUGUAAUAUUAGAUUUCAAAGCAAUAUAACCUAUAUAAUGCAUUUCAAAAGCCAUUUAAACCAUAUCAGUCCCAUGUGCCUUGAAUAUUUUAAGUCCUAUGAAAAUCCAAUUUUACAUUGAAAUCACUGAAUUUUUGUUCAUUUUUUAAAAACUAUUAUCAAAAUUUUUUUUAAAAACUUGUAAGCUGUUACCGAGGUGCUCGUAUAUGAUGCGACAAUGCAAUGUUGCAAAGAGCAACUGUCAUCAAAGGGGGGAGGGGGGAAGUUAAGAAAUAUAUUUGAAUUAUGUCUUCCAUUAAUUCAUCCAGAAGCCAAUCUACGUGCAAGUAGAGCAUAUAAUCAAACCUGACCAGCUACAGAAAACAUUUUAUUUUAAACCAAUGCACUUGUACUGCCAACUGCUCUGCAGUUAAAUAUGUUUAAAAAAAUAUAUAUCUAAAAUAUAUAGUCAAAACAGGCAGAUAACACAAUAAACUGGCAAGCCUUGAAUAGACAAAUUAAUUUUAAGAGAAUCGCUGAAAAGAUUCAAUUCAAAAUUGAUGAUUUAAUUAAUAAUAUCUUACAAACCAAAAUAACUAGAAUUUGCAUCUUUUAAAAAGAUGCCACAACUAGACUUAGAUUGCUAGUUCCUAGACUAAUGGCAUGUUUUAUAUUUUAGUUGUGUAUAUAGUAUCUUCUUAAUAAUUCAAUUCAGACACAGUAACUGUUAUUUGUUCUGUGCCUGUUUUUAUUCAAUAUUCAGUUGAAUAUCUUAACCCCGGUAGAUGUUUUUUAAAUUAUUAUUUAUUAUUUUAUUGUUUUUGAGAAAAAACAAAUAAGAAAUUACUAUUACGCAGUUUAUGAAUACAUUGUCUAAAAGGUGCAUCUAUGCAACAGUUUAGAUGUUCUGAUUUCUGAGUGCUGAUCAUGUGUCUAUGAAAAGUUUUAUUUUUGUUUUCUUUAACCUGGAAAAACCACAAAUCACAGCUCAUAAAACUCCUGAUUUGAGUCGAUCAGAAAGCUUGGUGCUAACCUAUCAGAAUAGUCCUUAUGUAAUACUGUGGCAGGAAAAGUGUCCAGGAGUUAGGUUCAUUCUGAUUGGUCAAUUUGGAACGAGCAGAGCAAUGGAAAAAACUGAACCUAAAAAAACUUUUUAUUUUCUGUUAAUAAAUUGAGCAUGUACAAGUUUGAUUUGAAAGUUUAGCAAUUAAUAAUUUAGUAAAUUAUUAUAAAUGAAUAACAUUUUAAACUUUAAUUGUUGUGAUGUAGAUGUUAAACUUAAAUGAAAGUCUUUGUAAAAUGAUCAUUUUUUUUCAAAUUUCUUAAAACUACUUUUAUUGUCAACAGUAUCUGCUGUACUUUCUAUGUCCUUAUAAUCAAUAUUGAAGUUCAUUUUCCCAUAUUUACAUUAAAUGUCUGUGCCUUAAAAACAUGGAGUAGAUUUAUUGCAGUUUUUCUGCAAAUGAAACUACCAAAAGAAUUUGAGAAAAAAGACAAAGAACUGAAGCCGAUGCUAAGUGCAAUACCAAGUGACAAGUGCCUUAAUAAGUGUUAGAUUCUUCAUACAGAAAGCACAUAUAAUGGUAUUAUCCACUUUAUAUUGAAAACAAGAGAGAAAAAAUAUGAGGAAGUAUUUUUUUAAAUGUGAAAGCUAGGGCAUCAAAUAGGAUACAGAGUUCAGUAAGUAAGCUCCGAACUGAGCACUAUUAUUUUACCAAGAUGAAAUAUAAGAGUAUAUUUGCACUGUAUUGCCAUUAUUAUAAUAUUGACAUUUUGUUGUUUGUAUUUUUAAAAGAGAAGUAAAGACUGUAAUGUAGUCCACAGUUAAAUGUGUUAUUAUGAAAUAAAAAACACAGUACUUCCAACAACAA